CUUCUAUGUAGCAUCCACUGUAGUGGGUGCACACAAUGCACUCACUACGUGGAUGCUUGUGAUUUUUUGUAUUUUUUUUUUAAAAGUCAAAACGCACGUUUUGAUCGAAUUUCCAAAUCCGUAGCAGUUUCAUCCAUUCGAAUUCAUCCCGCGAAAGAGACGCUCCAUCGCAACCCGCGUUUGCUCUCGCAACCCAGCUCCUCUCGGAGACGCCGUCUCUCUCGUCAGUGCCACUGAGCGGCGCUCCUCCGUUUGCCCAGUGCCUCCACUGUCCCACGAGCUCGUUGAACAGAGUAAACAAGGUUUCAAUCCCGCAAACCUCCUUCCUUGCCACCAACUCGCGUCCGUCGGCUUCCUCUUGCCAGCGCCACCUCGCGACGGCAUCUCUCGGUUCAGGGCCAACUCGCAACGCUCGUUAGUCUGCCCAGUGCCGCCGCUCCCCAUGAGCUGAUUGAACGGACCAAACUAGCGACGGGACCGAGAGCUCUAUUUCACCAAAUGGUUUGCUAGGCAAAUGCGGACAAUCUAUGUAUCUCAUGGAGCAGAAGUGGUUCCAUCUGUAAUUUCAGCACAGUUUUAGGCCCAUAUUCCAUUGACCUCUGGAUGGUGAUCCUUCAUGAGGCAAGCUUUGCUCAUUGACCCCAUUGUUGGGUUCUGAGGGAAGUUGUGAGGGUUAGAAUUUCUUUUGUUCUUUAGAUUCUCAUCAUCCAUAAUAUUUGCAUUUCUAUGAGUACCAUUCAGUCAACUUGGCACUGAUUAAAUGCUUCAGUUGAGGUGCUUUUGAUGAUUGAAUACAAUGCACCUUUCUUUGAAGUCUGAUUUUCCAACAUCAGAAAAUUAGCAAUGUCUUUA